rnacentral:rRNA from 1 species
UCUAGUGGCGCACGGGUGCGUAACGCGUGGGAAUCUGCCCUUGGGUUCGGAAUAACACAGAGAAAUUUGUGCUAAUACCGGAUGAUGUCUUCGGACCAAAGAUUUAUCGCCCAGGGAUGAGCCCGCGUAGGAUUAGGUAGUUGGUGGGGUAAUGGCCUACCAAGCCGACGAUCCUUAGCUGGUCUGAGAGGAUGAUCAGCCACACUGGGACUGAGACACGGCCCAGACUCCUACGGGAGGCAGCAGUGGGGAAUAUUGGACAAUGGGCGAAAGCCUGAUCCAGCAAUGCCGCGUGAGUGAUGAAGGCCUUAGGGUUGUAAAGCUCUUUUACCAGGGAUGAUAAUGACAGUACCUGG